ACGCCGGGGGCGGGACUGGCCCCUCUCUUGUCUGCCGCUACCACCACGCGGGGGCACCUCGGACGGGGCCUAACCCUCCGGGGCCGUGGGUCCUUGCUAUUGCUCAGUCCGAUUCCCAGGCUUUCCUCCCCAAACUCCUCCCAAAUCAAAUCCCCCUCCUCCAGGAGCCUUCUCUGUCUCAGUGACUCAGUUCCUUCUUCUAUAAAAUACUAUUACCUCCUAGGUUUUUUUUUUUUUUUUAUAACAGUGCUCAGCCCAUAGCAGUGCUCAAUAAGUUUAGUUAGUGUUGCUUAUUAUUAUUGUUAUCGCUCUAUUAAUUCUGCUCGGCAGGACCUAGAGAUGAAUUAAAACACCUAUGGCUUCGCACUGGCAAUGGAAAGACAAGAAGUACUACCCUUCUGCAGCUGACAUUUCAGCACUGAGGCCAUGAGCCCCCCUCCACCCUUCCAACAACGGGCACCGACCUGUUACCAGAAGGUGGGGGUGCUCAGUAAAUGCCUGUUAGUUGGACAGGAUGCAGGACCUCUGCCCUCCAGUGUCCAGCACCCAGACCUCCAUGCAUCACUCCCACAACCUCCCGUGGAUGGCUGCUUCACCUGCACAGAGGCCUUCCUCCUCCUCCGCUCAAGGAUUCGCCCUUACCCUCCGAGACUCACUC